rnacentral:SRP_RNA from 1 species
CUGUAGGCUAGGUGGCAGGUUAGCCCUCUGUUGAACCACAAACGGGCUUUAUGGUGGACUGAAGUCUAAAUGAGGCAUAAUGCUGAUUACAGGUCUUAGCUCUAACGUUGAGGCUUUGUCCUGUAGGGUCGGUGUUUUCAGGAAUUGUGUCAGGCCAGGAAUGGAGCAGCACUAACUUUUAAUGCUGGCGCUUAUGGGGUAGCGGAGCGGAGGAGGAGUUAAGGUUAGCUUGUAGUUGGUUUUUAUAUCGAACUUAGGCGGCCUACAC